ensembl:snoRNA SNORD111 small nucleolar RNA, C/D box 111
UAGCCUGAAAUGAUGACAAUUUAAAUUUCAUGUCUCUUCUCUGACAUUUUCCUCUGGAGAUAGUUUCUGCCUCACUGGUCUGAUCAGGCUG